UCUACCACACGUUCUAACUGAACAAGUAAACUUUUUGUACAUUGUAAUAAAUGGCAAAUCCAUGUAUUAGGUUACUGAGAAUGAGUCCGACAUUUAUUUUGUGUACCUCGCAAUUUUGCUUCGGUCUGCAGGUUUCCAUAUGAUUUUUCAACAUAAAGCAGUGUUGCUUUUUUAUAUAUGGUUUUUCCUCGGCAGUGAGAGAAACAUAGCUGUGUUCAAUUUAAUGCCUGCGCGAUUGUAUUAUUGGCUGUUUGUUAUUUUGUUUUCCCACCUUUUUUGAUGACAGGCAGCAGUUUAUAGCAUUUUGUAUAUGUCUUCCAAACUUAUGAUGUUUAUAAGGGGGUCAACUUAAAAUGCAUGUAUAUUGUACCUUGUGAAAGAUUACAGGGUUUGAAUUAUUAUUCUAGUCUGGUUGACCCCCUUUUUGCCUAUGUACAUCAUGUUACAAUGUCAUUAUGGUGCUGGGGGUCAGAUUGUGUAAUAUUUUGACUAAGAUGUGUAAUACUCUAUAUUUGAGUCCUCCUUUUUCUGACCCCCAUUUUGUUAACUGUGUUAUACUUUUCCGUCAUUUACUUUAAUAAAUGACAUAUUUCACUUCAGCAUGAUGUUAUUUGUUUUUGCCUGUUUAUCAAAAAACAAGCUCAGUCGUUUGGCAGGAGAACUAAGGAACAUAAAUAAUAUUUUCAAUAAAUGAUACAAACAUAUGCGCUGUUUUUUUUUCAUCAGUUCAUAAAAAUCAAGAUAUACAACACGUGUGAUACUCAAUAAGUAUUUUACGUCAGGAAGUAUAUAAAUACGUGUGACAAAAUCCUCUUUACUGCAUUCAAGAGUGGGAAGAGAAUCAUUUUAUGAAAGGAUCUAAAGAUUGGUUUAAAUCAGUUCGAGCAUCUGGACUGCUUGGGAUUUUUAUUUCGGUCAUUGCUCUUAUUUCUGCCAUCCUCAAGAUACGUUUCAAGGACCGAGUCUUCGUGCUAAUCAUUGUGAUCAUCUUGUCCUUUUUGAGUGCUGUGUGCACCAUGGUGUCCAUUGCUGUUUACGCAGGAAAAUAUCAUGCAUCGGAAAAAUACAGCAGUUUUGUCAAAUUCAGCUUUGCAUUUGCUUUUUGUGCAGUUUCCAUCGUUCUCUCGGCCAUAGCUGGAAUUUGCAUGAUUAUUGAAUUGUCAAAGAGGUCAUCUUACACUACAAUAGUUGGGCGCUGAGAAAACACCAAUUUAGGACUGCCGUAAUGAAAAAAAAUACUCAAUGUUUUACAUAUAUGAGGACUGUCCAAAAAGUCUAUUACAAUGUUCAUAACGUUAUAAACAUUCAACAAAUUCAUUCAAUACAAUCAAAUUUGGCAUGACCAUAACAAAUUCAAUAUGUUCCUGAUAAUAGGGAAUUCUAAUGGACAUACGCAAUUUUAAUGCCUUUUUCCCUGGAGUUGAAAAGUUCCAAUAUCUAAGGAAACUGUCUGCUACAUUUCAUUGUCCAUAUGAUUAUGUAUGUUAAUUAUAAUUAUGGAUUCAUUCUAUCUAUUCCCACUUUUUGAAAAUCAUGUAGAAAAAGGUAAGAUUUUA